rnacentral:rRNA from 1 species
CCUACGGGAGGCAGCAGUCGGGAAUUUUGCUCAAUGGACGAAAGUCUGAAGCAGCAACGCCGCGUGAGGGAUGAAGGCCUUCGGGUUGUAAACCUCUUUUAUCAGGGACGAUGAUGACGGUACCUGAUGAAUAAGCCACGGCUAACUACGUGCCAGCAGCCGCGGUAAUACGUAGGUGGCAAGCGUUGUCCGGAUUUACUGGGCGUAAAGAGCGCGCAGGCGGUCGUUUAAGUCGAAUGUGAAAGCCCCCGGCUCAACUGGGGAGGGUCAUUCGAUACUGAUCGACUUGAAGGCAGGAGAGGGAAGUGGAAUUCCGGGUGUAGUGGUGAAAUGCGUAGAUAUCCGGAGGAACACCAGUGGCGAAGGCGACUUCCUGGCCUGUUCUUGACGCUGAGGCGCGAAAGCUGGGGGAGCAAACGGGAUUAGAUACCCCAGUAGUC